GUGCUCGCUUAGGCAGCACAUCUACUAAAAUUGGAACGAGACAGAGAAGAUUAGCACGGCCCCCGCACAAGGACGACGCGCAAAUUCGUGAAGCGGUCCAUAUUACA
ensembl:snRNA U6 U6 spliceosomal RNA